UGACAUGUUUUAUAGGAAGGAUAAUAACUCAUGCAACUUGGAGUGCUUAUGAUGCCAUCUUUCAUACUCAGAAAUUACAUUAUUCUCCUAAACCCUUUUUUAAUCUUUUCUAUUUAAAGAGGAAUGUCAUACAUUCAACAUUUAUGCUUCAUUGGGGAGAAUAACGAAAGGGGAAGAGCAAGGAGACACAUUUAUGGAAUCGACUUCUUUGUUGAUUUUAUGACCUACGGAAAAUAUUUCUUUCGAGACUCGGGAUAGAUACGUGGAUCAUCCGGCCAACACACCAAUCUGACACCUAGUGCCUCAUCAGAACGUCUGAAGUAUACAUUGUGCCAAACACUCAUUGGUAUCAUCUCAAUUCACUAUCAUUUAUCAAGUUCAUAUUUUAUAAUCCCUAUUAACCUAACUCAGACUCGGGAUAGAUACGUGGAUCAUCCGGCCAACACACCAAUCUGACACCUAGUGCCUCAUCAGAACGUCUGAAGUAUACAUUGUGCCAAACACUCAUUGGUAUAACCGAAGUAAAAGUGUGCUCAACACUCAUCGGAACAUUCGAAGUAAAAUGCGCCCAGUGCUUAUCGACGUAUAACCAAAGUAUAACUUGAACACAAUCUAAUCCUAUGACAUGCUAACUAUAUCUGACACUGAUCGAACAUUUAAUAGAGUACCAAUGAUCGAAUUACAUGAUAUAACUAAUUCACAUAUUGUAUCUCAUUUCAUUUCAUCAUCAAUUCACAUAAUAUGCCAUAAUCAAUUUCAUAUCAUAUUCAAUUAUGUUAUGCACAACUCAACUCAGUUCUUAACACAUUAUCGUUCAACACCAAUCAAUUCGUACAACAAGCAUAAGCUUACCUCGAUAGUUAAUCAUGCAAUCAACAUGUAUAUGCAUAUAAAUAUAAUGAUCUUGAAUCAUAAAAGUAUAAACCGAUAUUGCCCGCUACUUGACAACAACUCUCAACUUUCCCUUCUCCGAUACGACUUGAUGUCGUCUUUAGCUACGUUUGAUAAUUCAAUACUAAAAACAUUAUUAGUUUACACUCAAUUCACAUCCAAAUACAUAGACACUCAUAUUUUACAUUUUAUUCAAUUUAGUCCCUAUACUCGAAAUAUGUAUAUUUUUUGAUAUCUAGCAUCAGAUCAAAAUUCGGUUUCACAUUUUUGUUAGGGACCCUAUAUUUUUCAUCUAUAGCAUAAUCUCAUGAUAGUUUCUGAUUUAUUCAAUUUAGUCUCUAAUGUUACAAAGUUAUCAAACAAGCUUAAUUUAAUUUUCAAUUUAGUCCUUAUCAUGAUCUAAGCUUAUUAACUAACAAAUUCAAGCCUACUUCAUCAAUUUCUCUCUAAUGGCAACUUGCUAGAAACUUAACAAUUGAACAAAUUGAUACACGAGUUAGCUAAAUCAAACUCCCAUGAUCAUAAAUCUAAAAAAAAUUCAUGAAAUUAGCUUUGUUACCUAUGUUAUUUGCUUGGCCGAAUGCAAGCUUUCAAAUAGAGUUUUCUCCUUUCUUUUUCUUUCUUUUUGGACAGCAAGGAAGAAGAUGAAGUGAAUUUUCUCUUUCUUUUCCUUAAUUAACUUUGUUUAAUUAGUUAAUUAAGCAUUAUAAUACUUACUUUGUUAUUAAUUAAACUAAGUGGAAUUAACAAUCAUCAUCCACUAAUUCAUGUUGAAAAAUGGUUAAAUAAUCAUUUACAAUUUAAUCAUUGAGAUUUAAUUAACUAAUUUUCUUGGUUAAAUUAUUUAACUGAACUUUAAUAUAUUUUCAUAUUAACUUCAUUAAUUUUUAUAUUUCAUCAUUACGGGUUCGAUUUACGGAAAUGAGAUUUCAAAACCGCAUUUUCCGGCACCUAUAAAAAUCGAGUCAUAACACCUUGCCUUCAAGUGGGACUUUGGAAAAGGAAAUGUAUCCCUAAACCAACAUCUGAGAUAUGCCAGCGGCAUGAUGAAACUAUUAAGCAUCUUUUUGGAUGUGACUGGGUAAGUGUGAUUUGGUUUGAAGCUGUAUAUGGUCUACAAAUUUCUGGGGAAAACAUUAGCACCUUUGAUUGUUAGCUGCUUUCUACUGCUGGAAACAAAGAAAGAUUAGAGAUUCAGAGAGAUGAUUAAUUGGUUAGAAUUUGCUAUGCAACUUGGUAUAUAUGGAAAAUGAGGUGUGAAAGAGUUAUGCAAGGGAAAUAGAUUGUAAUUUGGAAGACUAUAAGAAAGAAACAAAUUGCGCCUAAGGCGAUGAUGGAUUGUAGAGAAGGAAAUGAGGGUCAGACCAGACUGUCAAUGGCUAACUCAAUUGAGGUCACAUAGGAGAAACUUGAGGAACAUUGGCUGAAACUUAACUGUGAUAGGGCUUUUGAUAUUAAGAUAGGGAAAGCUGGACUUGGGGUUAUUGUUCGAGAUAGUAUAGGGACAUUGGUUGAUAGCACAUCUUUGAGUACUGUCUCUGAUUCUCCAAAAAUGACUGAAGCAUUGAAAUUAAA